CUGCAGGUCGACGAUUAGAGUUUGAUCCUGGCUCAGGAUGAACGCUAGCGGCAGGCUUAACACAUGCAAGUCGAGGGGUAACAGAGGUAGCUUGCUACUUGCUGACGACCGGCGCACGGGUGCGUAACGCGUAUAGAAUCUGCCUCAUACUGAGGGAUAGCCUUUGGAAACGAAGAUUAAUACCUCAUAGUAUAUCGACUCGGCAUCGGGAUGAUAUUAAAGGUUACGGUAUGAGAUGACUAUGCGUCCUAUUAGCUUGUUGGUAAGGUAACGGCUUACCAAGGCUACGAUAGGUAGGGGCCCUGAGAGGGGGAUCCCCCACACUGGUACUGAGACACGGACCAGACUCCUACGGGAGGCAGCAGUGAGGAAUAUUGGACAAUGGAGGCAACUCUGAUCCAGCCAUGCCGCGUGAAGGAUGACUGCCCUAUGGGUUGUAAACUUCUUUUAUAUAGGAAGAAACAGUUUCUCGUGAGAAACCUUGACGGUACUAUAUGAAUAAGCACCGGCUAACUCCGUGCCAGCAGCCGCGGUAAUACGGAGGGUGCAAGCGUUAUCCGGAAUCAUUGGGUUUAAAGGGUCCGUAGGCGGAUAGAUAAGUCAGAGGUGAAAUCCUGCAGCUCAACUGUAGAAUUGCCUUUGAAACUGUUUAUCUUGAGUUAUUGUGAAGUGGUUAGAAUAUGUAGUGUAGCGGUGAAAUGCUUAGAGAUUACAUGGAAUACCGAUUGCGAAGGCAGAUCACUAACAAUAUACUGACGCUGAUGGACGAAAGCGUGGGGAGCGAACGGGAUUAGAUACCCCGGUAGUCCACGCCGUAAACGAUGGAUACUAGCUGUUCGGCCGUAAGGCUGAGUGGCUAAGCGAAAGUGAUAAGUAUCCCACCUGGGGAGUACGUUCGCAAGAAUGAAACUCA
rnacentral:rRNA from 1 species